UAGGAGGCUCUAUUAUGAAUACUGGUC
rnacentral:piRNA from 1 species